AGUGAACGCUGGCGGUAGGCCUAACACAUGCAAGUCGAACGGCAGCACAGUAAGAGCUUGCUCUUACGGGUGGCGAGUGGCGGACGGGUGAGGAAUACAUCGGAAUCUACUUUUUCGUGGGGGAUAACGUAGGGAAACUUACGCUACUACCUCAUACGACCUACGGGUUAAAGCAGGGGAUCUUCGGACCUUGCGCGAUUGAAUGAGCUGAUGUCGGAUUAGCUAGUUGGCGGGGUAAAGGCCCACCAAGGCGACGAUCCGUAGCUGGUCUGAGAGGAUGAUCAGCCACACUGGAACUGAGACACGGUCCAGACUCCUACGGGAGGCAGCAGUGGGGAAUAUUGGACAAUGGGCGCAAGCCUGAUCCAGCCAUACCGCGUGGGUGAAGAAGGCCUUCGGGUUGUAAAGCCCUUUUGUUGGGAAAGAAAAGAAGCAGGUUAAUACCCCGCUGUUCUGACGGUACCCAAAGAAUAAGCACCGGCUAACUUCGUG
rnacentral:rRNA from 1 species